rnacentral:lncRNA from 1 species
CUCCAUUUCAAUAUUUGCCUCAACAAGGACAAAAUCUGUUCAUAUUCUAGGAACCUUACCUUUGCCUGUCUUGGUGGAUUGCCUCAGAGACAUCAGCAGAUGACCAAAGUGAUCUCCUGAAAUCCAUUAUGACAUCACCCUAUUUGUGAACUGAUCUCCAGUUGGCUAAGAUAACUCAUGUAACUAAUUGAGGAGGAGACAGAAAAAGAAGGGGAAAUGAUGUAGAAGAAAAAAAAAUCAAUACAGCAAUUGAUGACAGCAAGCAAGAAGAGGCAGUGGAAGUGCUAAACCAUUGCUUGGCUAUGGCAAUUAUCUGGAUGAAGGCUACAAGCUGAGGGUCCAACAAGAUAAGGCUGCAACAAUUUGUAAGUGAUUCUGCUGUGCAUAUAAGACAUGCCCACCUCUGAAACAGGACAGAGGUUAGCGUUCUACCUAAGGGUUACAUUUAAUAUCUUGUGGUUCAAUCGUCUCCAUUGA